rnacentral:tRNA from 1 species
ACCCCCUUAGCUCAGUCGGCAGAGCAGCGGAUUCUUAAUCCGCGAGUCCGGGGUUCGAGCCCCCGAGGGGGUACCA